UUUUUUUUUUUUUUGUCUUUUUAGGCCUGCAAACCUCAGCAUAUGUAGGUUUCCAGGCUAGGGGUGGAAAUGGAGCCAUAGCUGCAGGCCUAUACCAUAGCCACAGCAACACCAGAUCCAACCCAUGUCUGCAAUGCACACCACAGCCCACAGCAACACCGGAUCCUCAACCCACUGAGCAAGGCCAGGGAUCAAACCUAUGUCCUCAUGGAUGUUAGCCAGAUUUGUUUCCACUGAGCCAAUGAUGGGAACUCCAUGAAAGGUAACUUUUUAAAAAAAUAAUGCGUUAAUUAAUCUGUGGUAAUCAUUUUACAAUGUAGAUGAAUAUCAAACCAUCGUGUUGUACAAUUUAAAUAUACAGAACUCAAAUAUUCCUCAAUAAAGCUGGAAAAAAUAUAAUUAAAUAAGUACUUGCUAAUUAAAUGAGUAUACACUUCAAAUAAAUAGCAUUUUAUUUGUCAAUUAUUCCUUAAUACAGCUAGAAAAAAAUAAAAUUAACUAAGUAUUUGCUGAAUGAACGAGUACGGUAAGUGUGAGCAGUGAUUAUCAUAUAACUGCUUAUUUUUAUUUUUAAUUUUUUUUCUGUCUUUUUGCCAUUUCUAGGGCCGCUCCUGUGGCAUAUGUAGAUUCCCAGGCUAGGGGUCUAAUGGAAGCUGUAGUAGCCGGCCACAGCAACACAGGAUCUGAGCUGCGUCUGCAACCUACACCACAGCUCGUGGCAACACUGGACCCUUAACCCACUGAGCGAGGCCAGGGAUCAAACCUGCAAACUCAUGGUUCCUAGUCAGAUUUGUUAACCACUGAGCAGUAACGGGAAUUCCCUAUAACUGCUUAUUUUGACAUUCAUCAGAUCACAUGUACAGCUUUGAUGGUCUAAUGUAUAUCAAAAUGACAUAAAGCUUUAAAAACAAUUCUCCUUGAAGAUACUCAUGUACUCAGCCAAAGAAAUAGAAUUUGAGCUAGGAUAGACUCCUGGAUUAGAGUCAUGCUACACAUUCUAGAAGACCCUAAUUCUCAAAGCUUGCUUAAAUACACAACCUAACAUGUUUGCUUUCCGUAAAAUAAGAAAGCAUGAUUUCCCACAGGGUGAAAUCAGAUCUAGUCUCAGGUGCUGUAUUUAUUAGGAAUGAAGCACAGAUCUUUCUCACUGUCGUUUGUCACAUGUGGAGCUUCUAACCAAAGACUUCAGAGGAAGAAAAAUGCUGCCAUGCUGCUGCUGUGGUUUUUGAGGAAAGCAACGGUUUUGCCAAAUUUACUACACAUUUAGAAAUUAUUUAGUUCUAAAUUUUAAUUUGAAUAUUUCACAUUUUCUCACUUUGAUGUAUUAAAAUUUCUGAAAAAGAAUUUAAGAAAAAACUAAAGAUUUUGUAAGGAGUUAGGGGAUGGGAAAGAGUAUAGGAGAAGAUAGAUGAUUUCUGGCAAUUCUAGUGUUACUAGUCAUUAUUAGCAUAAAGGUAAUACUCAAGUAAUAAAAUUAACGUCCUUAAGAAGAUAUAGAUACAUUUUAGCACUCAAAGUUUUGGGGCUCAGAAUAUAUAUUUUAUAACUUUAGCUAAACCUUAAAUUAUGAAUCUUUCAAACAUCAAAUGAGGCAUAUCCAAUUUGCAAUCACAAUCUGUCAUCCUCUCAACUUCAUCAAAUUUUGAAUUUUUGCAUAAAGGAAAUAUUCAUUUUGCUACUACUUUAUAUGAAAAUUUUGAAAGUUUCAUAUAAAGGAAACAUUCAUUCCUACUAUUCAGUAAAAUGAAUCUGUAGAUCACCAGUUAUCUCAUCAGUAGAUUAGAUCAACACUACUGAUCUAAUCAGCUCUGUGUGUUGUGGAGAACUCAGAUUUCUAUCCACACACAGGGAUUUAUCUUGGCAUUUUCUGCUACAACUGCUGCUUAACAAAUUUUUAAAAAUAAGUGCCCCCAAAUGAAAUAUUCUAAGGGGUUGAAAAAAGUAUUGCUUUAAACAUUUUAUUUUUAAUUUUAAUGAUUAGUGUGUGUGUGUGUUGGGGGUGGGGGGUGAUUCCCAGUGCCAUGUAGGGAGAUACAAGGGUGGAGAUUCCUGGGCUGAUCUAUUUUAUCCACAGAUGAAAUGACAGUGUGAGCAAACAGAUGUUUGAUCUGUGCCUCUGAGCUUGGCGUAGCUAAAGGGAAGGAUGCAUUCCUUCCUAUCGCUGGAGUCCCCCACCCAAUCCCAAAUAUCAAAGCAAAAAAAUUUGCAUGCUCCAAAAAAUAGAACCAAGAUAUAAGUGAAGAACUCUUCAAAUAUUUGUUUUAAAAAUCCUUUGAGAGUGUAUUGAAUUUGGAUCAUGAAAGCAGAGGUCAAUUUGUAUUUUUUCAUUUUUCCCAGUUUCACAUUUUUAAAAAAUGCUCUUUCACCACCUCCAUGUGCAGAGGGCUAUGAACUUGCUUUGUUUCCCAACUGACCUAUUCAUAUCAAGUUAGUUACACCCACUUAAGUCCCUUCCUCAAUUUUGGCUUGUCCAGUGAACCCUCCUAUGGAGCUGGGAACUGAUAUAGAAAUUUUGUGGGGUGUUUUGUUUGUUUGUUUUUUAACAGAAAAUGGAAUCCCUCAAUGCCACAAGACACCCUUUCUUAUUAAGAAACAAAAGGCAUGGAAAUUGCUAAAAAACAAAUCAAUUUCUAUUAGAAAAAGUUACACGAUUGGAAAAAGAAGAGCACAUUGCUGUAAUUACCGGUACAUCAAGCAGGGAUGAACAGCUGCGUGAACUUGGAGGCGGUAGAAUAACAGCCACUGAGCCAGCUUCCCCAUAUGGUCCAAGGGAGGAGGUGGGGCUUCUAGCGGCUGAGGGGUUGGAGAGGUGAGGAGGGGGCACACUCAAAUCCCAUUCAAGUGAGAAACUCAAGCCAAGAAAUGUCUGGCUUUCCAAUCCAAACCCAGCUUCUUUCGAGCUGCAGUGGGAAAAAUCCCCCUGGCCUCCAUAACAAAAGCCUCUAAAAUCAAUGUUGUUUUUUCCUAAAGAGAGCAAAAUGUGAGUGUUUUCAGACUUUUGGCUCCCCUGCUACUAAUAGAAAAGAUGACUUAAGAAAGACUGAAUCACUUCCUCAGCCUUCUUGGGGUGUGGCUAUGACUUGAAAUGGUUGGUAUCACUUCAUAAACACUG
rnacentral:lncRNA from 1 species